AUUGAACGCUGGCGGCAGGCCUAACACAUGCAAGUCGAGCGGAUGAAGGGAGCUUGCUCCUGGAUUCAGCGGCGGACGGGUGAGUAAUGCCUAAGAAUCUGCCUGGUAGCGGGGGAUAACGUCCGGAAACGGGCGCUAAUACCGCAUACGUCCUGAGGGAGAAAGUGGGGGAUCUUCGGACCUCACGCUAUCAGAUGAGCCUAGGUCGGAUUAGCUAGUUGGUGGGGUAAAGGCCUACCAAGGCGACGAUCCGUAACUGGUCUGAGAGGAGGAUCAGUCACACUGGAACUGAGACACGGUCCAGACUCCUACGGGAGGCAGCAGUGGGGAAUAUUGGACAAUGGGCGAAAGCCUGAUCCAGCCAUGCCGCGUGUGUGAAGAAGGUCUUCGGAUUGUAAAGCACUUUAAGUUGGGAGGAAGGGCAGUAAGUUAAUACCUUGCUGUUUUGACGUUACCAACAGAAUAAGCACCGGCUAACUUCGUG
rnacentral:rRNA from 1 species